AUUGAACGCUAGCGGGAUGCUUUACACAUGCAAGUCGAACGGCAGCGCGGACUUCGGUCUGGCGGCGAGUGGCGAACGGGUGAGUAAUGUAUCGGAACGUGCCCAGUAGCGGGGGAUAACUACGCGAAAGCGUAGCUAAUACCGCAUACGCCCUACGGGGGAAAGCAGGGGAUCGUAAGACCUUGCACUAUUGGAGCGGCCGAUAUCGGAUUAGCUAGUUGGUGAGGUAACGGCUCACCAAGGCGACGAUCCGUAGCUGGUUUGAGAGGACGACCAGCCACACUGGGACUGAGCCACGGCCCAGACUCCUACGGGAGGCAGCAGUGGGGAAUGUUGGGCAAUGGGGGCAACCCUGAUCCAGCCAUCCCGCGUGUGCGAUGAAGGCCUUCGGGUUGUAAAGCACUUUUGGCAGGAAAGAAACGUCGCGGGCUAAUACCCCGUGGAACUGACGGUACCUGCAGAAUAAGCACCGGCUAACUAUGUG
rnacentral:rRNA from 1 species